rnacentral:rRNA from 1 species
GGGAGACCACCACGUUGAUAGGCUAGGUGUGGAAGCGCGGCAACGCGUGCAGCUUACUAGUACUAAUCGGUCCAUUGGCUUGUAUGA